GGAAAGCACAUUCAACACAACUCUUGCGCAGCAACAUAAAAAAAAGAUUCUCAUAACAAGUUCAUCAAACCAUAGAAGAAAUAAUCCACCGCCUAUGACGUGCAAGCUUAAAGACCUAACCCAACAGUUCGACCAUCUCUUCUUCGAAGUCCAGCAGUGUAUUGUUUUUCUAAAUCCAUCUGGAGCUCCUUUUGCUUUUCGGCACGGAGAAGUUCGCUGCCAUCUUGGUUGGUUUGUCGGGGUUCCAUCUUCAGCUCGCCCUUCACAC
rnacentral:misc_RNA from 1 species